UACGAAGGGGGCUAGCGUUGCUCGGAAUCACUGGGCGUAAAGGGUGCGUAGGCGGGUCUUUAAGUCAGGGGUGAAAUCCUGGAGCUCAACUCCAGAACUGCCUUUGAUACUGAGGAUCUUGAGUUCGGGAGAGGUGAGUGGAACUGCGAGUGUAGAGGUGAAAUUCGUAGAUGUUCGCAAGAACACCAGUGGCGAAGGCGGCUCACUGGCCCGAUACUGACGCUGAGGCACGAAAGCGUGGGGAGCAAACAGGG
rnacentral:rRNA from 1 species